GGCCUAUUAGCUUAGUUGGUUAGAGCGUCAUGCUAAUAAUGCAAAAGUCACAAGUUUGAUUUUUAUAUGAGCCA
rfam:Glycine max cultivar Williams 82 chromosome 15, whole genome shotgun sequence.